ACAGACAGACAGCAGAACCCCCUGAAGAAGAGGAAACUUUCUUACCUCAGACCUCCAACAGCUCAGCCAGCCGUCGAACCAGAGACAUGUAUGGGCACACGGGGUUUCGUCCCCGAAACAGCCAUACUCCGCCUCAGACUCCUCUUGUAGCUGCCUUGUCAGUGAGUAGUAGUUCAUCUAAUCGAGAGGAACAACCAUUUUUGGCUGGAAGGUACACACCACCACCUUCAUAUGACCAGUUAGCAGGGGGCGCUGUUGUUGGGAGUUGGGGCAAAGCAGCCAUCAGGGCCUGACCUGCUUCUCUUCUCACAGCACGACAACCACCUGAUGUGUGCCACCAAGUUCUGAUCAGCUGUCCCUCGUCCACCGUCGGCUGGCUUCCUCCUGGGGUUGUUUUCUGUGUCUGUCUGUCUGUCUGUUUUUGGCCAGAGAAGCACCAGCACUGGGGAUCAUGAAGACAAAGUUUCACUUUUCACUUUUGUUUUUACCUCUCUUGUAAAGGUGGGAGAAAAAAAAAUUACACAAGUGUUCACUUGUUUCUAGUACAAUUCACCAGUUUGUUUUUUUUUUCUGAAAAUUCAACAAAACCUAAACCUUCGUUUGACAAAGCUGAAAAAGUAUACAUUAUCUGAACACUUGAUUUUCAAACUAUUUUUUCUGUUUUAUAAAAUUAGUGUAAUUUUCUCUUCUUCCCAGUGUCCAUCUGAUAACGAUCUUUACUACUGACCAUGUGGGGAUAGUGACCAACAUUUAUUUCAACUGUUUAUAUAAUGUCUUUUCAAUUCACUACUGCUUCUUAAAGUCACCUUCAAACUGGACAAGAUCCCUCGAAAGACUGAAACAGUUUCAAAAUUUUUCAAAACUCGAGGCUUGAAUUUGUUGUAAAUUAUUCAAAUCAACCUGUAUUAAAUUCUUUCAUUUUGUUUCCUUCGAGAAGUAUGGUGACCACCGGUUCUAGAAUCCAUCUGCCGUGAAGUUUGGAAAAUACUUGCAUGAAGGUAUCUUUAUGUGGAUCUCAUUGCAGUUCACCAGUUGUAGAUUAAAGCUCUGUGCAUAAGGUGUAAUGCAUUACAGUGUCGUUAGUUCCUGGUGUCUAACCAGAUGGGAUAAUUUUGAAAAUUAUGUCUGUAUUUGAGGCUUGUACUUUGUAAAGAGAUCUUUUGUGUCUUAUUACUGUUGAACUAGUACCUUUGUAUUUGUAAAGUGAAUAUUAUGUCUCAAGUUUUUCUUGUAUUUUUUUUUUUUCAAGAUUGAAGUAAGUAAUGCUUAUAUUAAGACUACCAAAGUAACAAUGGUUAGUUGUUUUUAUGACACACAAAUUAAUUGUUGUCUUUGCCCCAAGGUGAAAGGGGGGGACUCCUGCAGUGGCUGCUUUGGUUGCCAACAUUCAUCCAUUUUGGAUGAUUGUGUGGACAUUUUUUCUUGUUAAGUAUUGUCUGUACUACAAAACUGUCCUUGUAUAUAGAUUAACUGAUCACUGUUGUGCUGUAAGGUUGUAAUGACUUUAUGUACUUCAAUAUUUCUAAUCUCAAAAAUUGGGUGUUACUUAGCUGUGAAAUUUGUGGUAUACAAGUUGGUAAUUUUCAACACUUAUCAUAGUUUUAUAAUAUGACCCACCACAUGCAGUGCCAUUUGAUAAUUGAAAAAAUAAACCCAUUAUUUUAAGGAAACCUUCAUGUUUUGAAGCAGCUCAGUCUAAUAAAAAGCUGAAGGUUUGAAAACUAUGGGAUUUCUAGUUGCAUUGUGUAAUUAAUUGUCUGUCUGAUUUUGCCAGACCAUCAUUGGUAACAAGGUAAGUAAAUCUGUGAAGAUGUCGAACUUUUCAGAUUUCAUAUCUGUAUGUACUGUUCCAUCUUUUUCAAGACUUCUGCUAAUCUAAUAAAACCACAUGAUGUGAGUAAAGUAAAUAAAAUGUUCUUCUGAGCUGUAUUUAAGUACCAAUAAAAUUAGCAACAAAGUGAGUGUGAAAUUAAAACCCUCUAUGUAUCUUGCCAUUUGUGUUUAUUAAUUGCCAUUCAUCUCCAUUUUGAAAGAUUGUAACAACUCGUCUGUCAGCAAAACAAUUUGAUAUGCCAUUUUUAUAUUUGUCUCAGUUCCAGUUUGCUGUAAGUGUUUUAACACAAAUGUUUCCUUGAUUUUAAUCUCCUAUUUGGUGUAGACUUUUUGAAAUUUUUAUAUGUCAGUAAUUAUGUGUUGUUGAGAGAUGUUUUUGUGAAUAUUUAAAUAAUGAUGUUAAAAAUACUUAAUUUUAUUGAGUAUGAAUAAGAAUUACAACAGAUUGUUUAAACUUUACAAUAUUUGUUUCAUUCAUACCAGAUACAAUUUUUUUAAACUUGCUUGCAAUUUUAACUAUUAAAGUAUCUUAAAUUAUCUAAUAAUAAAAAAAAAAAGACUAGAUUUCGCUUUAUAGGUAUCACAUUCUUUUUAUAUUUUGUCAGUUAUUUAAGUAACUAAAUUCAAUAAUGCAAGAACAAUUUACUGAAAAUUUUCACAUGCUGCCAUACAAUACUGGGUGCACUAUUUGAACUUUUGAAGUCUAAAAACAUUGGAACUAUCUUUGGUUAACGUAGUAAAACUCACAAAUAGAAAUAGAAGUAUGUUAUAAAUAAUGAGCUCAAAGAAAAUACCAAACAUUAAGUAUUAACUGCAGUGAAACACCUCUUGUAAUAACCCACAAUGUAAGUUAAAUGUAUUUUAGCUUAUAGAACGUUACACAUUUUAGAGGAAAGAUCAUUGCACGUGCUGAUUAUGGUGUGUAUUUUUCAUGUUUUCAACCCAAAGGAAAGCUUAUAUUUUAAGUAUUAUUCUUGUAAAUGAUUUUUCAACAUUAAUUGCUCAUUUUUACAUUGUUAGAUAUUUUAGUCAGUUCCUUUAAAUUUUACAUGUAUAUUCUAACUUUAAGUGUUUUAAGAAGUCAUUAAGGGUAACAAGAGGAAGUUGUUUUCAAUAUGGAAAAUUAACCACCUUUUUUUUUGUUACGUUAACAAGUCCCUUAUUUCAUCAGUUUAGUUCAUUUGGCUUGGACAAGAAACUUGUAAACAUUUCAGAUCCUGCACUGUGAUUUCUGAUCACAUAGAACAUUGAUUCUUAACUUUUUAUUUACAACCAAAAUUAUGCUUUGUAAAGUAAUUCCUAAAAAUACUUAAAAACACCAAUAAAUGCAAGUGGUCUUGGUUAGCUGAAGUUCUUUUUUUUAAUUGUGGUUUAUAGAAAUAUGUAAAUUUUAUUAACUUUGUUAUAUAUAUAUAAAUAUGUAUAGACAACAUCUAGUUUAAUGGGUCCUAAGUGGCAUACUAAAGACUUACUUUUUUAAGGUCUGUUUGUAUGCACAUUGACCUGGAAAUUUGAUGGAAAGAUAUGUGAAGCUUCAGGUUAGUGUUAGUUACAAAAUAUCAGCAGAUUAUUAGGUGUGUUUUAAACGAGAUAAAAGAUUAGAGAAGUAUUAUGGUCAUCAUCCGACAUGUUUAUUGUAGUAAAUGUUUUGUUAAAGAUAGGUCACAUUUCAAGUUUACUGGCAGUGUAGGAGGAUUAUAUCUAAUGUUCACUAUUAUAUGUUCACGUGGUUUGAAUAUUUUUCAUGCUUUUGAGUUUCAUUGUCAGUUUGUAAGUUAAGUGACAUCAAUAAAAGAGACUUUAUUGAGCCUUUUGAAAGCUGUAGAAUUUAAAUACAGUUCCAGCAUCUGGUUAAUGGUUAUUCAACAUUACAGUGCCUAUUAUGUGCUAAAUCUAACCAAUGUUUGUGGAACUGAAGUCCAAACUUAAGAUAAAUUCUUGCCUUACUUUCAUAACUUAAAUACUGUCCUUUAGUUUUCUGUCCAUUAUUUGUGGAGUAUUGUAUAGUAGAGCUGUCUGCUAAUAUGUGAAUAAUUAAGUUCUUCUUGACAAACAGUUUGUGGGCUUUUCUUGAUGUCAUUGUAUUAAUAACUCUUUCUGUGAAGUUAAGAAACUAGAAACACACAACUGACAGUGGUUGUAAGAACAAAGUUAACAUUAUUUUUAUGUGCAUUUCGAAAACGAGACAAUAUAUUAUUAUUUUUAGGAAUGUAAUACUAAUUUUAAUACUGACCUCUUUUCAUUGACAUAAAAUUUUAGAUUUAUCGAUGUCAAAACAUCAUAAAUUUAGGUAGGGUUGAAUCAAUUAUCCCCCUACAACAAAUCUUUAUACGUGGUUCAACCUCUGUCCCAUUUUCAAGUAAUGUAUAAUGUAGUUUUCUUACAGAAACUACUGUAAACUGAUUAUAGUUGCUUUACUGCUAAUACUACCUAUCCCUCUCUAGUUGGGAUCCAGAUCUUUGAGAGUGUAGUGUUCUAUGAUAGGAUGUAUAACCAAUGUAAAGCUCUUAAAAUGAUUCCAGUACUUUACAAAACCUGUUGGAUAUUAAACAAAUUUCCUUUAAAUGUAUUUUAUAUAUAUUUGAUUAUUAGAGGGGGGAAGAGAUGUAUAACUGUUGUUUUGAACUUUACUAUUGUGAUUAUGGUGUAUUUAUUAGGGAUGAAUUCAUGUUUUAUAGAUGUUUUGUGAAAUGUAUGUAUGUAAGUCUGUAAAAAUAAAACGUCCUUCAUAUAAAAAUAA
rnacentral:lncRNA from 1 species